AGAGUUUGAUCCUGGCUCAGGAUAAACACUGGCGGCGUGCCUAACACAUGCAAGUCGCACGUCCUACGCAAGUAGGGAGUGGCGGACGGGUGAGGAAGACAUGGGUACCUGCCCCGAAGUGAGGAAUACCACCGAGAAAUCGGUGACAAUACCGCAUACGUUUCGUAAGAAGCAAAGCCGCAAGGCGCUUCGGGAUGGGCCUCUGGCCGAUUAGCUAGCUGGUGGGGUAAUGGCCUACCAGGGCGACGAUCGGUAGCUGGUCUGAGAGGAUGAUCAGCCACACUGGGAUUGAGAACGGCCCAGACUCCUACGGGGGGCAGCAGUGAGGAAUUUUCCGCAAUGGGCGCAAGCCUGACGGAGCAACGCCGCGUGCAGGAAGACGGCCUUCGGGUUGCAAACUGCUUUUCUCAGGGACGAGCAAGGACGGUACCUGAGGAAUCAGCCCCGGCUAACUACGUGCCAGCAGUCGCGGUAAUACGUAGGGGGCGAGCGUUGUCCGGAGUUACUGGGCGUAAAGCGCACGCAGGCGGUCAACCAAGUUUUCGGUGACAGCUUCCCGCUUAACGGGGAGAGUGCCGGGAAAACUGGCUGACUUGAGGGUCAGAGAGGGACAUGGAAUUCCGGGUGGAGUGGUGAAAUGCGUAGAUAUCCGGAAGAACACCAAUGGCGAAGGCAGUGUCCUGGAUGACUCCUGACGCUCAGGUGCGAAAGCCAGGGGAGCGAACGGGAUUAGAUACCCCGGUAGUCC
rnacentral:rRNA from 1 species